GGGGACCCAGGGAGCUUGGAUCUCACUGGCAAACCUGGAAAGCCUGGAAUCAGAGGUGUCAAAGGCAGAGAGGGUUCAGAGGGGCUUCACGGCAGUCCUGGAGACAAGGUUAGUGGUUUUGUAAAAUGUAACAGUCACAUCAUGUGACACACCAUAUGAUGACAAAAUGUAAUGCAAUAAAAAGCUGAAAACAUUAUUAGCUACGUUUAACAGUAAUCAGCAGCAGAAGCAAAAGUUUCCUUUCAUUUUUUGCGUUCAAAUCAAACCUCCUUUCAUUCACAAGCCAUAUGUUCUACUGUCUGUUCUCUACUUAUAAUUUAUAUCCAAAUGCAUUUUAGAAUAUUUUCAUUUGAUAUUAGGGAAAAAUGGUCCUGAGGGGCCCAAAGGAAAACCUGGUCAGCCAGUAAGUGCCUUAUAGGUUGUAUAUAUUUACAUGUUUUCCUCAUUCAGUAACAUUAAACUUUAGGUUCCAAAACUCUUUGAAUAUAUUGAUUUCUCUGUUUAGGGUCCUCGAGGCCUACCAGGAGAGAAGGGCUACCGAGGACCUCCCGUAAAGCAUACAUAUAACAUACAUUUGCAGUCUUUUUGUCAUGAUGCAAUAGCAGGAAUAUUACUAUGUAUUUAUCCAGUUAGUAAUGAUAAAACAUUUGUAAAUGUAAUCUUCUAAAAGGCCCACAAGGAAACAUAGGCCAGUGGUGUGAGACAGGUCUGCAGGGGCCAGUAGGAAAUCAAGGGCCCAUAGGGCCACCGGGGCCACAUGGAGUGGCUGGGUACCCAGUGUGUAUUUUUGGUUUAUUAACAAAAAAUGUUGUGUAUUUGUUUUUUUGUCAGGGGCUGAGUGGUGCUCCAGGGCAGAAGGCAGAUCCUGGAUCCCCUGGUGAAAAAGGUCAGACAGGUCUGAGAGCUUACUCGGGGUUGGUAGGAAGGUACGGUCCUGGAUGGAACAUGGGAAAAUCUGGUGGAAAAGGCGACAAAGGUCUACGUGGACUUGUUUUGGGUACCACUUCCUCUUUUGCAGCUAAUGAAGCCUAUGAAGAAAUGAAUUUAUUUUGUUUAUUUCAGUGUUCUAUGGGUAUCAUAGGGCGCUGCAGGAACAAAUGGGCCGCCAGGUCCAAAUGGUGCUAUUGGGUUACCGGGUUUGCCAGGGAAAAAAUGAUUUGUUGGACAAAGUGGAAAAUUUGGACCAAAAGGAGUGAGAACCUGGAGUUAAAGGGAAUCCAGGCAGCCCUGGGAAGAUUGGAUCAAUGGGCGUUUCAGGCCCAAGUAAGAAGAAAGGAGAGCCUGGAACAAGAGGCAGAAUGGGGUCAUUGGGUCAGCCAGGAGCUGUGGGUCCUCGCGGACUAAAGGGAAAACCAGGAUCUUCAGGGCCUUCAGCGGAAAAAGGAGUCAAGGGUCAACCAGGGCCAAAAGGCCAUGUUGGUAUUAGAGGAUUGCAAGGGCCCAGUGGACCACCAGGAGAAAAGGGAAAGCAAGGUGCUCCAGGGUACAAAGGACGACCUGGGCUGAAAGGCAUACAGGGUGUAGCUGGUGCUUGUGGGCCUCCUAGUGGCAAAGGAUUCCCUGGUUCACCUGGUCCAACUGGAAGGAAGAAAGCAAGGUUAUUACCCAGAAAGUCUCGAUUUGAUAACCCUGAAGAAGAGACUGAGGAAAGUAGCCGCUCGCAAAACAGCACCAAAGACAAACCAGCAAACACCUGCAGAGAACUCUGUCUCAUCCAACCUCACCUCAGAGAUGGUAACAGCACAGGUGAGGGUUCUUGGGAAUUUGGACCUCCACGGAGGGGACAUACAACUCCUUCCCAUAAGAGAUGUUCUUUUCCAGGGUGGAGGAGAAACCUGGGAAGGAGAUCCGAGCAUUGUCCUUGGACAUUUGUGCUUUUUAUAGAAUCUUUCCAAAAUUAGAUUCCAUUCACAGAGCACCUGGGAGGAGUGCAUUGUUCCCAGGAUGUAUGCUACAAUUAGGCUUUGAAUAUUGUAUAAUAAUGUAAGCUAGAUUAUGAUUAGUGAAUUUGUUCUCCGGGUUUAUAUUAUUCAGAUUAUUGUUACACUGAAAGUGGUGCAAAAACUGUGUGUUUGUCUGUGAGAGCAUGUCAGUUUAUCUAGACUUGUGUGUCAGUGGGUUGUGAGUAUUUAUGUAAUGAUUUAUGUAAGUUUGUAAGAUUUUGUUAUGGAGGAAAAGAUCAUUUAUUAAACCUUUACCUGGUGCCUCUUUUUUUUAACUGAUAUAAAAAAAAAUUUAAACCCUAUAGGGCAUUUGUACUUUAUAUAUUGCAGAAAUGUUCUCAUGAAAAAUAUGUCAUGAAAUUCUCAGUAUUUUUGCCAUCUUCCUAAAUGAUGCAAUAAACAACCCCUGGAUAAAUAAUUGUUUUUUUUU
ensembl:lncRNA